CCUACGGGAGGCUGCAGUAGGGAAUAUUGCUCAAUGGGGGCAACCCUGAAGCAGCAACGCCGCGUGGAGGAUGAAGGUUUUCGGAUUGUAAACUCCUUUUGUUAGAGAAGAUAAUGACGGUAUCUAACGAAUAAGCACCGGCUAACUCCGUGCCAGCAGCCGCGGUAAUACGGAGGGUGCAAGCGUUAUUCGGAAUCACUGGGCGUAAAGAGCGCGUAGGCGGGAUAGCAAGUCAGAUGUGAAAUCCUAUGGCUUAACCGUAGAACUGCAUUUGAAACUGUUAUUCUAGAGUAUGGGAGAGGUAGGUGGAAUUCGUGGUGUAGGGGUAAAAUCCGUAGAGAUCAAGAGGAAUACUCAUUGCGAAGGCGACCUACUAGAACAUAACUGACGCUGAUGCGCGAAAGCGUGGGGAGCAAACAGGAUUAGAUACCCGGGUAGUC
rnacentral:rRNA from 1 species